CAUCCCUUCGCCACCGCCGCUCCAUCCCUUCGCCGCCGCCCUCGCACAUCAAAGCCGCCGCCCUCCAUCGGACGAUCCACUUCAGGAGACGCCGUCGAUCCCGUUGAGGACAAGCCGCCGAUCACGUCCAGGAUCCGACGACGAUCCCCUUUAGGAGCCUCACGGCGAUCCCCUGAGCCAGCGCUGAUCCCCGUUGAGGAGCCGCCGAUGAGAUCAUCGCUGAUAUGGGUAUUAUUAGAAGUUUAUACACAGUUCAUGGCAAGCACAGUCCGGCUGUGUUCACCCUUCUGCACACGAGUUCUACGUGUUUCUGAUCUAAAUUGAUCACAACUGAAAAGCUUAUACCUCUUCAUGAUCGCUGAGAUCUGGAAAGCCCGGUUUUCUUUCCUGUGAGUGCAAAAAAUAGGGAUUUGGAAGACUAAAGUAGGGUGAAACUGGUGUACUUAAAUUAGUUCGAAGUAGUGUUCUUUAGUUCUUUCUUCUUACUAGAUAAAAUCUAAUUGCUUCCACAUGGGGUCUCAUGAGAUAAGGGAUUAAGCUAGAAAAUAUUGUUUUGUUGUUGUUAAUUCUUUCAGCAGACAGGAAUUUGUUGUUAAUUCUAUAUUUUCACAAACUAUGUUUAUCUAGAUCCAGAUCAGCCAAUUCUCUCUUAAACAUAAAAUUCACUAUAUCCAUCUACUCCUCCGGCAACGACGGCCAAGGCCGGCAUGGAGCCGUCUACAACAACUUGCACCACCGGGCACACCACAGUACAACGGCCUAAGGUAAAACCAGUCUUUGUCCAAUAGAGAGUUGGCAUAACUGAGCGUGGUCAGGAGGGUAGCGUUAUUACUUUGGAUUGCUUUACAUAGACUGGUUUACAGGGUUAUUAAUUGGAUCCAUGUUUCAGCGACUUUGUAGAAGUGCGUUCAAUUUGCUUUCUGCAUAUUCACAGUUUAGGUUGUUCCGA